GAUUGUAGAACCCUAACUACUCUCAGGACGUCAAUCCUGGCUUCACUGAGGGCUUUACCCCUGCCUUAUCGUGUGCCUUUGUGCCAGCCACUCAGGGUCUCUGAAUCCUUCCUAUUGCAAAAGAAAAACUGUGCAUCUCAGAACCGGUCUCAGGACAGCUACUAAAAGGGCUUGGUAUGGAAGCAAGGCCAUCCACACUCUGAACAACUCAGGCGGAGAUAAGACCUCAGUUCUCCGAACACGAUGUCGUGGUUGCUCUUGAUGGACAACUUGAUCGGAUCUGGAAGACUCAGCUAACAGGUGUGGUUUGGGGUCAGUCUGUGAAGGCCUUUCCAGGAGGAACUGACUGAGGGGAAAGAACCUCCCUGGAGCAGGUAGCACUUCCUGCCUGAGGCCUGUACAAAGCAGUCCUGGGGAGGCCGGAGUGUUUCCUUACUUGUUUGCUUCUUGCUGAGCAGUUGUGGACCCUGUCGCAGGCACGGCUGCCACACAACCCUUUGUUGACAUCAGAACCUAGCUCCUUCAGUCUUCCAACAUAGUUUCAAGGCCAGAGAAUGUCUGGGAAUCCACCCGGCCUACAGCUUCAGAUUGGGACCCCUGAAGGCAUCUAGCCUUUCUGAUGUGAACACAGCCACUUCCAAUAAGAAGACACCACUGUGUCCCUGUUGUGUAAGCCUAUUGAAGAAAUCACCCUCGACACAAAUGUGCGUAAGAAAAAAUACAUUCUUCUUAAUCAUGUUGAUUUUGUUCCCCUAAAGGACCCUGACUAAUACAAUCACGAAAUCAA